rnacentral:rRNA from 1 species
GAUGAACGCUGGCGGCGUGCCUAAUACAUGCAAGUCGAGCGAACGGACGAGAAGCUUGCUUCUCUGAUGUUAGCGGCGGACGGGUGAGUAACACGUGGAUAACCUACCUAUAAGACUGGGAUAACUUCGGGAAACCGGAGCUAAUACCGGAUAAUAUUUUGAACCGCAUGGUUCAAAAGUGAAAGACGGUCUUGCUGUCACUUAUAGAUGGAUCCGCGCUGCAUUAGCUAGUUGGUAAGGUAACGGCUUACCAAGGCAACGAUGCAUAGCCGACCUGAGAGGGUGAUCGGCCACACUGGAACUGAGACACGGUCCAGACUCCUACGGGAGGCAGCAGUAGGGAAUCUUCCGCAGUGGGCGAAAGCCUGACGGAGCAACGCCGCGUGAGUGAUGAAGGUCUUCGGAUCGUAAAACUCUGUUAUUAGGGAAGAACAUAUGUGUAAGUAACUGUGCACAUCUUGACGGUACCUAAUCAGAAAGCCACGGCUAACUACGUGCCAGCAGCCGCGGUAAUACGUAGGUGGCAAGCGUUAUCCGGAAUUAUUGGGCGUAAAGCGCGCGUAGGCGGUUUUUUAAGUCUGAUGUGAAAGCCCACGGCUCAACCGUGGAGGGUCAUUGGAAACUGGAAAACUUGAGUGCAGAAGAGGAAAGUGGAAUUCCAUGUGUAGCGGUGAAAUGCGCAGAGAUAUGGAGGAACACCAGUGGCGAAGGCGACUUUCUGGUCUGUAACUGACGCUGAUGUGCGAAAGCGUGGGGAUCAAACAGGAUUAGAUACCCUGGUAGUCCACGCCGUAAACGAUGAGUGCUAAGUGUUAGGGGGUUUCCGCCCCUUAGUGCUGCAGCUAACGCAUUAAGCACUCCGCCUGGGGAGUACGACCGCAAGGUUGAAACUCAAAGGAAUUGACGGGGACCCGCACAAGCGGUGGAGCAUGUGGUUUAAUUCGAAGCAACGCGAAGAACCUUACCAAAUCUUGACAUCCUUUGACAACUCUAGAGAUAGAGCUUUCCCCUUCGGGGGACAAAGUGACAGGUGGUGCAUGGUUGUCGUCAGCUCGUGUCGUGAGAUGUUGGGUUAAGUCCCGCAACGAGCGCAACCCUUAAGCUUAGUUGCCAUCAUUAAGUUGGGCACUCUAAGUUGACUGCCGGUGACAAACCGGAGGAGGGUGGGGAUGACGUCAAAUCAUCAUGCCCCUUAUGAUUUGGGCUACACACGUGCUACAAUGGACAAUACAAAGGGCAGCGAAACCGUGAGGUCAAGCAAAUCCCAUAAAGUUGUUCUCAGUUCGGAUUGUAGUCUGCAACUCGACUACAUGAAGCUGGAAUCGCUAGUAAUCGUAGAUCAGCAUGCUACGGUGAAUACGUUCCCGGGUCU